AGUUGUAUCCUGGCUCAGGAUGAACGCUGGCGAGAUGCUUUACACAUGCAAGUCGUACGAGAGUCUUUGACUCAAGUGGCGGACGGGUGAGUAACACGUAAGAAUUUGCCUUUAGGAGGGGGACAACAACUGGAAACGGCUGCUAAUACCCCAUAUGCUUUCGAGUGAAACGGAUUUUUCCGCCUAGAGAGAAGCUUGCGGCUGAUUAGCUUGUUGGUAAGGUAAUGGCUUACCAAGGCGACGAUCAGUAUCUGGUUUGAGAGGAUGAUCAGACACACUGGAACUGAGACACGGUCCAGACUCCUGCGGGAGGCAGCAGUGGGGAAUUUUCCGCAAUGGGCGAAAGCCUGACGGAGCAAUCUCGCGUGAGGGAUGACUGCCUAUGGGUUGUAAACCUCUUUUUUCAGGGAGGAAUAAAUGACGUGUACCUGAAGAAUAAGCAUCGGCUAACUCCGUGCCAGCAGCCGCGGUAAUACGGAGGAUGCAAGUGUUAUCCGGAAUCACUGGGCGUAAAGCGUCUGUAGGUUGUUUAAUAAGUCAACUGUUAAAUCUUGAAGCUCAACUUCAAAAUCGCAGUCGAAACUGUUAGACUAGAGUAUAGUAGGGGUAAAGGGAAUUUCCAGUGGAGCGGUGAAAUGCGUAGAUAUUGGAAAGAACACCGAUGGCGAAGGCACUUUACUGGGCUAUUACUGACACUCAGAGACGAAAGCUAGGGUAGCAAAUGGGAUUAGAUACCCCAGUAGUCCUAGCUGUAAACAAUGGAUACUAGAUGUUGAACAGAUCGACCUGUGCAGUAUCAAAGCUAACGCGUUAAGUAUCCC
rnacentral:rRNA from 1 species